GCUUGCUUUCUGAUAACCAGCACUGCAAAGUCAGGCAAAAGCUAUUAUAACUUCCAAAAUCUACUGGGGAUAGUUAGCUGGACGGAUAGCAUUGAGGCUGCAAGCCAUAUCCACCAAAAGCAGAUGGCCUAUCAUAAUAACCAGAUGGCAUAUAUGGAUACGAAGAGUAUGGAAGGGCCCCAAAUGGUCCUGGGUUACCAGGGAGGCCCAUAGCAGCUCCCGCCAGGGGCCAGCUGAUGGACCUACAUAAG
rnacentral:misc_RNA from 1 species